AUACUGUGAUGAUGCCAAACAUUGUGGUUUCGACUCACUGAUUUUUGGUGAAGACCCCGUACCUUGGCUGUGUCUGAGAAC
rnacentral:snoRNA from 1 species